rnacentral:rRNA from 1 species
CCGCCAGAGAACUACAAGUGAAAAACUUAAAACUCAAAGGACUUGGCGGUGUCCCAUAUCAGACUAGAGGAGCCUGUCCUAUAAUCGAUACUCCCCGCUCCACCCAACCUUAACUAGCAUAUCCAGCCUAUAUACCGCCGUCGACAGCCUACCCCAUGAGGGACCAAUAGUAGGCAUAAUAGUAAUAAAUUACUAAAACGUCAGGUCAAGGUGUAGCUAAUGUUAAGGAAGAGAUUGGCUACAUUUUUAAAAAUUAACACACGGAAUGCACUAUGAAAUCCUGCAUGAAGGUGAAUUUAGCAGUAAAAA